AUAAAAUAUACUCCUAGUAUUUGUUCAUUCAUCUAAAAUUUCAAUGGGAACUAUAAUUCCAAGAUGUUUAAUGCUCAUAACCCUUGUUUUUAUUGGUUUAAUUUUAUCUCCUGGAUUCCAAGAAGGUGUUGCUGCUCGUUCUAACGUGUAUAGAGAAGUACUUGUGAGGAGACCAAUAUGUCCUGCUUGUGUAUGUUGCCAACCUCCACCACCAGGAUCUUGUUGCAGUUGUUGCGCUUCUCCUAUCAAUUCUCAGUCCAACAAUGGUUCGCCUUAAUCCACACAUGUACAAGCGAAUUUAGGAUUUAAAAUUUGAUAACUUCAACCUUUAAGGAUUUUUGAGUAACUGUAAUUUUUUUUUUCUUUUACUUCUCAAAUUUGCAAUGGCAUGGUCUACGUAUUUGUCCACUUUGUGUCUCUUGAUCAUAAUCAAUAAGCUAAAUCGCUAUAAUCAAAUUCCAUGGCAUCUUGGGAA